GUGGAAGGCUACAUCGUCACAACAUGUCUGACUUCCGUUCGAAACGCCAUUGUGUUCCGGAUUGAUAACAUUAUGUCGUGGUACAAAAUAGCUAUACACCGUUUAAUUGAACUCUUCUAACUAAGGAGAUGAAAUAGGAAUGAAAUCACCAAAACGCUUAGAAAAUAUGUCAAUUUUCUUCCUGUUUAAAGCUUUUAACUAACAUUGAUUAUCAGCUGUUUUGUACGGAAAACGUGGAAUCUAAAUAAUAUACCGUUUCCUUUCUCUGCUGCUAUUGGCAAUAUAUUUUUGUCAUGUCAUCUGCAACAGACGAUCAUACAUAUGUGGCGGAUUAUCGAUAUAGAUACAGCUAGGUAGCAAUAGCAGUGGAAGCCCGGAUUUGCAAGCCAAAAUGAGGGAAAGACAGAAUUCUGAAAAGGAGCAUGUUUUUCAUUUCCACACAUGCAUGUGUAUCACUAUGGACAUCUAAUGUUUUUGUGGGAUUUUGUCCAGCAGUUUGCCUUAAAAGAAUUUUUUUAUAUUUUAGUUUCAUAUUUAUGUGGAUUCCAAUAAAAAUCAUACAAACUUCA